rnacentral:rRNA from 1 species
GGAUAACCUGCCCUAUUGUCUGGAAUAACCUCGGGAAACUGAGAACAAGGCCGGAUAACCCACAAUGCCUGGAACGGUUUGUGGGUGAAGAUAGGAUGGGUCUGCGGCGUAUCAGGUCGUAGGGGGUGUAAUGGACCUCCUAGCCAUCGACGCGUACGGGUGUUGGGAGACAUAGCCCGGAGAUGGAUUCUGAGACACGAAUCCAGACCCUACGGGGUGCAGCAGGCGCGAAAACUUCACACUGCAGGAAACUGUGAUGAGGGAACUCCAAGUGCAUCCACUAUGUGGAUGCUUUUUUUGACUAUUAAUCGGUCAACGAAUAAGGGCUGGGAAAGACCGGUGCCAGCCGCCGCGGUAAUACCGGCAGCUCAAGUGGUCGUCGCUUUUAUUGGGCCUAAAACGUCCGUAGCCUGUUUGGUAAAUCUGUGGGUAAAUCAACCAGCUUAACUGGUUGAAUUCUGCAGAGACUGCCAGACUAGGGACCGGGAGAGGUGUGGGGUACUCUAGGGGUAGGGGUAAAAUCCUGUCAUCCUUAGAGGACCACCAGUUGCGAAGGCGCCACACUGGAACGGAUCCGACGGUCAGGGACGAAGCCUAGGGGCACGAACCGGAUUAGAUACCCGGGUAGUCCUAGGUGUAAACGCUGUGAACUUGGUGUCGGGGAUCCGCAAUGGGUCCUCGGUGCCGGAGUGAAGAUGUUAAGUUCACUGCCUGGGGAGUACGGUCGCAAGGCUGAAACUU